GCUGGAACUCAUGAACCACAAGAUCAUGCCUUGAGCCGAAGUUGGAAGCUUAACCAACUGAGCCACCCAAGCGCCCCCUGUUCUUAAUGCUAAUGACCAUACUCUUUCUUCACUCUUGGCCUGCCAGUUGUGGUGGCUUAAAAUGAAUGCCACCUUUCUGCUUUAUUUCAGGUGGUAUGUUCCAUUUCUUGUUUCAAAGAUUUGUAAUGGUGGGCUAUUCCUAAGAAGUUAUUGUGACUGUUUUCCAUAGAGGAACUAUCUUUGUUACACAGUAUGGAAAUAUGUACAUCAGCCUUCACUGCAAAGGAGGUUAAAGAUGUAAAGUGCUGAGUGAAGAGAGAGCAUGAGCAUGGGAGGGAAAGAAAGAGAGGAUCCAAAGCAAAUUCCUCGCUGUCAGUGCAAAGCCCAACGUGGGACUUGACGUGACCUGAGCCGAAGUCAGAUGCUCAACUGACUAAGCCACCCAGGUGCCCCAAACAUUACCUUUAAAAGUAAGAAUAUUCAUGAGGUGCCCAGGUGACUUAGUUGGUUGAGUUUCAGAUUCUUGGUUUAGCCUCAGGUCAUGAUCUCGUGAUUUGUGGGUUCAAGCCCUAUGUCCAACUCUGUGCUGAUCAUGCUUGGGAUUCUCUCUCUCCUCUCUCUGCCCUUCCCCAGCUCACACUCUGUCUCUCUCAAAAUGAAUAAAUAAACUUAGAAAAAAUAUAAAAGUAAAAAUAUUCUUUUCCAUUUCCAUAUAAUCUAAGAGCGGUGAAUAAGUGAUCUGAUCUGUUUUUUUCUGGCCUCUCACCUUAUCUCUCAAGACACAUUUUACAUUUUCUCAUAAAAUCCUAUAGCUCCUUAGUAAAGACAAAUAAAUGAUCUUCUUGUAA